CGUGUGGGCCCCCAACAGCGCACUUCGAACCCCGCCAGGCCCGGAAGGGAGCAACGGUAAAAGAAAGCGGGUGUGGGGGCCCUUACCUUAUU
rnacentral:SRP_RNA from 1 species